GGGCCCGUAGCUUAGUCUGGAUAGAGCGCCGGCCCCCGGAGCCGGAGGUCGCGGGUUCGAAUCCCGCCGGGCCCGCCA
rnacentral:tRNA from 2 species